AGGCAAGUAACCUAGUUUAAUCUUGAGUGUCGAAGCAAUCAAAACUAGGAGAGCCUUCACUUGUUGACAUGUGAACUUGUGAUAGUGAGAUUAAUCCAAACUACGAGAGGGUGAGAACUAUAGCUAGGUAAACUCAUAAUUUUUAAAACACAACCUCGGGAUAAUUGAGUGAAAAGAAUAAGUUUGGGGGGUUGUGUAUCUCUCGAGCGAGUAAGGAGACAUUUGACCACUUGGGAUCGGGACUCAAACUCAUCAUGAACUUGAUAUGUUAGCAUGAAUCCACACACACGUCAAGUAUGCACUU
rnacentral:lncRNA from 1 species